GACCUAACCCGCAAGCUUCACGCUACGGUAUGGUCGAAAAUCGUAAGCCAUAGAAAACCCGUCAUCAGGGCGUGGCUUACGUUAUCAGGGGAAACUCUGGUAGGGCCGCAAGGCCU
rnacentral:sRNA from 1 species